rnacentral:rRNA from 1 species
GUAGGUGGCAAGCGUUGUUCGGGAAUUAUUGGGCGUAAAGCGCGCGCAGGUGGUUCUUUAAGUCUGAUGUGAAAGCCCCCGGGCUCAACCGGGGAGGGUCAUUGGAAACUGGGGAACUUGAGUGCAGGAGAGGAAAGUGGAAUUCCACGUGUAGCGGUGAAAUGCGUAGAUAUGUGGAGGAACACCAGUGGCGAAGGCGACUUUCUGGCCUGUAACUGACACUGAGGCGCGAAAGCGUGGGGAGCAAACAGGAUUAGAUACCCUGGUAGUCCACGCCGUAAACGAUGAGUGCUAAGUGUUGGGGGGUUUCCGCCCCUCAGUGCUGCAGCUAACGCAUUAAGCACUCCGCCUGGGGAGUACGGUCGCAAAGACUG